rnacentral:rRNA from 1 species
AUUGAACGCUGGCGGCAUGCCUUACACAUGCAAGUCGAACGGCAGCACGGGAGCAAUCCUGGUGGCGAGUGGCGAACGGGUGAGUAAUAUAUCGGAACGUGCCCAGUCGUGGGGAUAACGUAGCGAAAGCUACGCUAAUACCGCAUACGAUCUAUGGAUGAAAGCGGGGGAUCGCAAGACCUCGCGCGAUUGGAGCGGCCGAUAUCAGAUUAGGUAGUUGGUGAGGUAAAGGCUCACCAAGCCGACGAUCUGUAGCUGGUCUGAGAGGACGACCAGCCACACUGGGACUGAGACACGGCCCAGACUCCUACGGGAGGCAGCAGUGGGGAAUUUUUGGACAAUGGGCGAACAGCCUGAUCCAGCAAUGCCGCGUGCAGGAUGAAGGGCC